CAGCCGCCGCGGUAAUACGGAGGGCGCGAGCGUUACCCGGAUUUACUGGGCGUAAAGGGCGUGUAGGCGGCCUGGGGCGUCCCAUGUGAAAGGCCACGGCUCAACCGUGGAGGAGCGUGGGAUACGCUCAGGCUAGAGGGUUGGAGAGGGUGGUGGAAUUCCCGGAGUAGCGGUGAAAUGCGCAGAUACCGGGAGGAACGCCGAUGGCGAAGGCAGCCACCUGGUCCACUUCUGACGCUGAGGCGCGAAAGCGUGGGGAGCAAACCGGAUUAGAUACCCCGGUAGUCCCUGUCUCUUAUAC
rnacentral:rRNA from 1 species